rnacentral:rRNA from 5 species
ACGGGUGAGGAAUACAUCGGAAUCUACCUUUUCGUGGGGGAUAACGUAGGGAAACUUACGCUAAUACCGCAUAAGACCUUCGGGUGAAAGCCGGGGACCUUCGGGCCUGGCGCGGAUAGAUGAGCCGAUGUCGGAUUAGCUUGUUGGCGGGGUAAAAGCCCACCAAGGCGACGAUCCGUAGCUGGUCUGAGAGGAUGAUCAGCCACACUGGAACUGAGACACGGUCCAGACUCCUACGGGAGGCAGCAGUGGGGAAUAUUGGACAAUGGGCGCAAGCCUGAUCCAGCCAUACCGCGUGGGUGAAGAAGGCCUUCGGGUUGUAAAGCCCUUUUGUUGGGAAAGAAAUCCUGCCGGUUAAUAACCAGUAGGGAUGACGGUACCCAAAGAAUAAGCACCGGCUAACUUCGUGCCAGCAGCCGCGGUAAUACGAAGGGUGCAAGCGUUACUCGGAAUUACUGGGCGUAAAGCGUGCGUAGGUGGUUGUUUAAGUCUGCUGUGAAAGCCCUGGGCUCAACCUGGGAAUUGCAGUGGAUACUGGGCGACUAGAGUGUGGUAGAGGAUAGUGGAAUUUCCGGUGUA